ACACAUGCAAGGCGAGCGAAAGAAGUUCCCGCGGGAACGGAUUUAGCGGCGGACGGGUGAGUAACACGUGGGCAACCUGCCUCAUAGAGGGGAAUAGCCUUCCGAAAGGGAGAUUAAUACCGCAUAAGAUUGUAGUACCGCAUGGUACAGCAAUUAAAGGAGCAAUCCGCUAUGAGAUGGGCCCGCGGCGCAUUAGCUAGUUGGUGAGGUAACGGCUCACCAAGGCGACGAUGCGUAGCCGACCUGAGAGAGUGAUCGGCCACAUUGGGACUGAGACACGGCCCAGACUCCUACGGGAGGCAGCAGUGGGGAAUAUUGCACAAUGGGGGAAACCCUGAUGCAGCAACGCCGCGUGAGUGAUGACGGCCUUAGGGUUGUAAAGCUCUGUCUUCAGGGACGAUAAUGACGGUACCUGAGGAGGAAGCCACGGCUAACUACGUGCCAGCAGCCGCGGUAAUACGUAGGUGGCAAGCGUUAUCCGGAAUUAUUGGGCGUAAAGGGAGCGCAGGCGGUUUAUUAAGUCUGAGGUUAAAGUUCGGGGCUCAACCCCGUGAUGCCUUGGAAACUGGUAGACUAGAGUGCAGGAGAGGUGAGUGGAAUUCCAUGUGUAGCGGUAAAAUGCGUAGAUAUAUGGAGGAACACCAGUGGCGAAGGCGGCUCACUGGCCUGUAACUGACGCUGAGGCUCGAAAGCGUGGGGAGCAAAUAGGAUUAGAUACCCUAGUAGUCCACGCCGUAAACGAAAGAUACUAAGUGUUGGAGUAGAACUUCAGUGCUGUAGUUAACGCAAUAAGUAUCCCGCCUGGGGAGUAUGCGCGCAAGCGUAAAACUCAAAGGAAUUGACGGGGACCCGCACAAGCGGUGGAGUAUGUGGUUUAAUUCGAUGCAACGCGAAGAACCUUACCUGAUCUUGACAUAUAGUUAAAAAGCAUAGAGAUAUGUAAUAGUUAUAGCUAUACAGGUGGUGCAUGGUUGUCGUCAGCUCGUGUCGUGAGAUGUUGGGUUAAGUCCCGCAACGAGCGCAACCCCUAUCUUUAGUUACCAUCAUUAAGUUGGGGACUCUAAAGAGACUGCCGGUGAUAAACCGGAGGAAGGUGGGGAUGACGUCAAAUCAUCAUGCCCCUUAUGAUCAGGGCUACACACGUACUACAAUGGCGUAUACAAAGGGAAGCUACACAGCGAUGUGAUGCGAAUCUCAUAAAGUACGUCUCAGUUCGGAUUGGAGUCUGCAACUCGACUCCAUGAAGCAGGAAUCGCUAGUAAUCGUGGAUCAGAAUGCCACGGUGAAUACGUUCUCGGGUCUUGUACACACCGCCCGUCA
rnacentral:rRNA from 1 species